UUUUCACAGUUGCUUUGAACACCUGACAGAAAGAGAAGAAAACAGUUAUGAGCUGAACAUAACAGUAUGCCAGUGGAAAGGAGGACAGUAGCAGGAGACCCUAUGAGCUGAACAUAACAGUAUGCCAGUGGAAAGGAGGACAGUAGCAGGAGACCCUAUGAGCUGAACAUAACAGUAUGCCAGUGGAAAGGAGGACAGUAGCAGGUGACCCUAUGAGCUGAACAUAACAGUAUGCCAGUGGAAAGGAGGACAGUAGCAGGAGACCCUAUGAGCUGAACAUAACAGUAUGCCAGUGGAAAGGAGGACAGUAGCAGGAGACCCUAUGAGCUGAACAUAACAGUAUGCCAGUGGAAAGGAGGACAGUAGCAGGUGACCCUAUGAGCUGAACAUAACAGUAUGCCAGUGGAAAGGAGGACAGUAGCAGG
rnacentral:lncRNA from 1 species